AGCAGCCGCGGUAAUUCCAGCUCCAAUAGCGUAUAUUAAAGUUGUUGCAGUUAAAAAGCUCGUAGUUGAAUUUCGGGACCAAUUUGUUGGUCGUGCCUCGGUACGUACUGGUAUUAUUGGUUUCUCCCUUCUGAAGAACCUCGAUGCCAUUAAUUUGGUGUCGUGGGGAAUCAGGACUGUUACUUUGAAAAAAUUAGAGUGUUUAAAGCAAGCAUACGCUUGAAUACAUUAGCAUGGAAUAAUGAAAUAGGACGUUUGAUUCUAUUUUGUUGGUUUCUAGGAUCGACGUAAUGAUUAAUAGGGAUAGUUGGGGGCAUUAGUAUUCAAUUGUCAGAGGUGAAAUUCUUGGAUUUAUUGAAGACUAACUACUGCGAAAGCAUUUGCCAAGGAUGUUUUCAUUAAUCAAGAACGAAAGUUAGGGGAUCGAAGACGAUCAGAUACCGUCGUAGUCUUAACCAUAAACUAUGCCGACUAGGGAUCGGAUGAUGUUAAUUUUUUAAUGACUCAUUCGGCGCCUUACG
rnacentral:rRNA from 1 species